GUGUAUGACCAUACCACCCUGAACAUACCCCAUCUCAUCUGAUCUUGGGAGCUAAGCAAGAUUGGGCCUGGUUAGUUACUUGGAUGGGAGAUCACCUGAGAAUAUCAGGUGCUGUAGACU
ensembl:rRNA 5S_rRNA 5S ribosomal RNA